rnacentral:rRNA from 1 species
AGUGAACGCUGGCGGUAAGCCUAACACACGCAAGUCGAACGGCAGCACAGGAGAGCUUGCUCUCUGGGUGGCGAGUGGCGGACGGGUGAGGAAUACAUCGGAAUCUACUCUGUCGUGGGGGAUGACGUAGGGAAACUUACGCUAAUACCGCAUACGACCUACGGGUGAAAGCAGGGGACCUUCGGACCGCGCGCGAUUGAAUGAGCCGAUGUCGGAUUAGCUAGUUGGCGGGGUAAAGGCCCACCAAGGCGACGAUCCGUAGCUGGUCUGAGAGGAUGAUCAGCCACACUGGAACUGAGACACGGUCCAGACUCCUACGGGAGGCAGCAGUGGGGAAUAUUGGACAAUGGGCGCAAGCCUGAUCCAGCCAUACCGCGUGGGUGAAGAAGGCCUUCGGGUUGUAAAGCCCUUUUGUUGGGAAAGAAAUCCAGCUGGCUAAUACCCGGUUGGGAUGACGGUACCCAAAGAAUAAGCACCGGCUAACUUCGUGCCAGCCGCCGCGGUAA